AAACAAACAAACAAACAAACAAAACAAACAGUUCAAAAUAUAUGAAGACAUAUAGACUAGCAGGACAAGCCAUGUGCAAUUAGGUUACAGCUUCUAAAAUGAAAAAUGACAUUGUAUGGAUUUCCACGUUUCUCUAGGAAGAAAAAAAGAAGCAAAUAAAAUUAGAACAAAAAUUUUGUAUUACUCACCCAAAGCCACUGUGGACCAAGUGGCAUCAGAGUGGUACAAGCAGCACCUGGAUCCUUAACGCCUAGACUAGGAGAGAAACUUGAAGAGCUUGAAGAAUGUUACCAAGAAUGAAAAAGUUUGAAGAUAGGGGAGUUGGAAGGAAUACCUGGUAGAGGACAUUCUUGAAGGUGUGGAAAUAGAGUCUAGAACACAACUGAAUAAAGAGAGCUCCCCAUUUUGUGAGAUUGGAGGUGAAGAGGGAAAUUUGUGGAAAGAGGAACUUGGCAAGGAUGACCAAGGGGAACCCAGCCCACGGCCACGGACCUGUUAGGAACCGGACUGCAGAGCAGUAGGUGAGUGGCAGGUGAGUGAGCAAAACUUCAUCGGUAUUUACAGUCACUCCCCAUCGCUCUCAUUACUGCCCGAGCUCUGUCUCAUGUCAGAUCAGCGGUGACAUUAGAUUCUCAUAGGAGCACGAAUUCUAUCAUGAACUAUGCAUGCAAGGGAUCUAAGUUGCAUGCUCCUUAGAAGAAUCUAAUGCCUGAUGAUCUGUCACUGUCUCCCAUCACCCCCAGAUGGGAACAUCUAGUUGCAGGAAAUCAAGCUCACGGAUCCCACUGAUUCUACAUUAUG
rnacentral:lncRNA from 1 species